rnacentral:rRNA from 1 species
UACGUAGGGUGCAAGCAUUAAUCGGAGUUAUUGGGCGUAAAGGGCGCGUAGGCGGUUUUGUAAGUCUCGAUGUGAAAUUCCUGGGCUCAACCUAGGAGCUGCAUGGGAAACUACAAAACUCGAGGAUGGACGGAGAGAACGGAAUUCCACAAGUAGCGGUGAAAUGCGUAGAUAUGUGGAAGAACACCUGUGGCGAAGGCGGUUCUCUAGUUUAUUCCUGACGCUGAGGCGCGAAAGCAAGGGGAGCAAACAGG